rnacentral:rRNA from 1 species
CAGUAGCCGCGGGAAUACGUAGGUGGCAAGCGUUGUUCGGAAUUAUUGGGCGUAAAGGGCUCGCAGGCGGUUUCUUAAGUCUGAUGUGAAAGCCCCCGGCUCAACCGGGGAGGGUCAUUGGAAACUGGGAAACUUGAGCGCAGAAGAGGAGAGUGGAAUUCCACGUGUAGCGGUGAAAUGCGUAGAGAUGUGGAGGAACACCAGUGGCGAAGGCGACUCUCUGGUCUGUAACUGACGCUGAGGAGCGAAAGCGUGGGGAGCGAACAGGAUUAGAUACCCCCGUAGUCCCUGUCUCUAUACC